rnacentral:tRNA from 1 species
UUGUUGGAAGCCAAAUAGAGGCUUAUCACUGUUAAUGAUAGAAUUGGAAUAAUCAUUCCCUAACAAG